CAAAACAGAGUCCACRCUGGUUUCAUAUGUGAUGAGGAGGCAAGCAAACAGCAGAGAACAGCAGUAGAYACGACACAAAUAUACAAGAAAGACAAAUUAAGGACAAAAAGACAGAGCUGUUUCUAACAAUUCAGAUGGUGCACUUCARAAUAAUACCAUAAAGGCUCAUCAUKUUAAACAAUUAUUGAUUACACCUUGGGGAUUUUUCACCAAUUCCACUUGAUGCUGCUUUUAAAAUGGAAAGGCUCAACCUGAGAGUGAGGAGAAGCAAGGAWCUAGACGCUCCACCCACUCUGUCUCUGCCUCGCAGGGUGAGGAUCCCUUUGGGAAUCAGACUUUAGGAGGAGCUCAAAGCAAAUGUAACUUCUGCUCUGUGAGCCGACAGCAGCAGUGCGGAGAAAAGCGUGCACAAGGCAAGUCCUGUAACUGGGAUCUACAGC